UCGAAUGCAUUGCAUGGAAUGGGAUUCUCUAGUAGCAAUUCCUCAGAACCUGCCAGGAGUAGCACUGGAGAUGCUAUUGAGCAGCUCAGAUCUAAACGACCCAUGAGCCGAAUGGAGGUACCCCCAACAAUGGCUGACGA